GGGUUGUGAGGUUAAGCGACUAAGCGUACACGGUGGAUGCCCUGGCAGUCAGAGGCGAUGAAGGACGUGCUAAUCUGCGAUAAGCGUCGGUGAGGUGAUAUGAACCGUUAUAACCGGCGAUUUCCGAAUGGGGAAACCCAGUGUGUUUCGACACACUAUCAUUAACUGAAUCCAUAGGUUAAUGAGGCGAACCGGGGGAACUGAAACAUCUAAGUACCCCGAGGAAAAGAAAUCAACCGAGAUUCCCCCAGUAGCGGCGAGCGAACGGGGAGGAGCCCAGAGCCUGAAUCAGUGUGUGUGUUAGUGGAAGCGUCUGGAAAGGCGCGCGAUACAGGGUGACAGCCCCGUACACAAAAAUGCACAUAUUGUGAGCUCGAUGAGUAGGGCGGGACACGUGGUAUCCUGUCUGAAUAUGGGGGGACCAUCCUCCAAGGCUAAAUACUCCUGACUGACCGAUAGUGAACCAGUACCGUGAGGGAAAGGCGAAAAGAACCCCGGCGAGGGGAGUGAAAAAGAACCUGAAACCGUGUACGUACAAGCAGUGGGAGCCUCUUAAUGGGGUGACUGCGUACCUUUUGUAUAAUGGGUCAGCGACUUAUAUUCUGUAGCAAGGUUAACCGAAUAGGGGAGCCGAAGGGAAACCGAGUCUUAACUGGGCGUUAAGUUGCAGGGUAUAGACCCGAAACCCGGUGAUCUAGCCAUGGGCAGGUUGAAGGUUGGGUAACACUAACUGGAGGACCGAACCGACUAAUGUUGAAAAAUUAGCGGAUGACUUGUGGCUGGGGGUGAAAGGCCAAUCAAACCGGGAGAUAGCUGGUUCUCCCCGAAAGCUAUUUAGGUAGCGCCUCGUGAAUUCAUCUCCGGGGGUAGAGCACUGUUUCGGCAAGGGGGUCAUCCCGACUUACCAACCCGAUGCAAACUGCGAAUACCGGAGAAUGUUAUCACGGGAGACACACGGCGGGUGCUAACGUCCGUCGUGAAGAGGGAAACAACCCAGACCGCCAGCUAAGGUCCCAAAGUCAUGGUUAAGUGGGAAACGAUGUGGGAAGGCCCAGACAGCCAGGAUGUUGGCUUAGAAGCAGCCAUCAUUUAAAGAAAGCGUAAUAGCUCACUGGUCGAGUCGGCCUGCGCGGAAGAUGUAACGGGGCUAAACCAUGCACCGAAGCUGCGGCAGCGACACUAUGUGUUGUUGGGUAGGGGAGCGUUCUGUAAGCCUGUGAAGGUGNNNNNNNNNNNNNNNNNNNNNNNNNNNNNNNNNNNNNNNNNNNNNNNNNNNNNNNNNNNNNNNNNNNNNNNNNNNNNNNNNNNNNNNNNNNNNNNNNNNUUGCUGGAGGUAUCAGAAGUGCGAAUGCUGACAUAAGUAACGAUAAAGCGGGUGAAAAGCCCGCUCGCCGGAAGACCAAGGGUUCCUGUCCAACGUUAAUCGGGGCAGGGUGAGUCGACCCCUAAGGCGAGGCCGAAAGGCGUAGUCGAUGGGAAACAGGUUAAUAUUCCUGUACUUGGUGUUACUGCGAAGGGGGGACGGAGAAGGCUAUGUUGGCCGGGCGACGGUUGUCCCGGUUUAAGCGUGUAGGCUGGUUUUCCAGGCAAAUCCGGAAAAUCAAGGCUGAGGCGUGAUGACGAGGCACUACGGUGCUGAAGCGACAAAUGCCCUGCUUCCAGGAAAAGCCUCUAAGCAUCAGGUAACAUCAAAUCGUACCCCAAACCGACACAGGUGGUCAGGUAGAGAAUACCAAGGCGCUUGAGAGAACUCGGGUGAAGGAACUAGGCAAAAUGGUGCCGUAACUUCGGGAGAAGGCACGCUGAUAUGUAGGUGAAGCGACUUGCUCGUGGAGCUGAAAUCAGUCGAAGAUACCAGCUGGCUGCAACUGUUUAUUAAAAACACAGCACUGUGCAAACACGAAAGUGGACGUAUACGGUGUGACGCCUGCCCGGUGCCGGAAGGUUAAUUGAUGGGGUUAGCGGUAACGCGAAGCUCUUGAUCGAAGCCCCGGUAAACGGCGGCCGUAACUAUAACGGUCCUAAGGUAGCGAAAUUCCUUGUCGGGUAAGUUCCGACCUGCACGAAUGGCGUAAUGAUGGCCAGGCUGUCUCCACCCGAGACUCAGUGAAAUUGAACUCGCUGUGAAGAUGCAGUGUACCCGCGGCAAGACGGAAAGACCCCGUGAACCUUUACUAUAGCUUGACACUGAACAUUGAGCCUUGAUGUGUAGGAUAGGUGGGAGGCUUUGAAGUGUGGACGCCAGUCUGCAUGGAGCCGACCUUGAAAUACCACCCUUUAAUGUUUGAUGUUCUAACGUGGGCCCCUUACCGGGGUUGCGGACAGUGUCUGGUGGGUAGUUUGACUGGGGCGGUCUCCUCCUAAAGAGUAACGGAGGAGCACGAAGGUUGGCUAAUCCUGGUCGGACAUCAGGAGGUUAGUGCAAUGGCAUAAGCCAGCUUGACUGCGAGCGUGACGGCGCGAGCAGGUGCGAAAGCAGGUCAUAGUGAUCCGGUGGUUCUGAAUGGAAGGGCCAUCGCUCAACGGAUAAAAGGUACUCCGGGGAUAACAGGCUGAUACCGCCCAAGAGUUCAUAUCGACGGCGGUGUUUGGCACCUCGAUGUCGGCUCAUCACAUCCUGGGGCUGAAGUAGGUCCCAAGGGUAUGGCUGUUCGCCAUUUAAAGUGGUACGCGAGCUGGGUUUAGAACGUCGUGAGACAGUUCGGUCCCUAUCUGCCGUGGGCGCUGGAGAACUGAGGGGGGCUGCUCCUAGUACGAGAGGACCGGAGUGGACGCAUCACUGGUGUUCGGGUUGUCAUGCCAAUGGCACUGCCCGGUAGCUAAAUGCGGAAGAGAUAAGUGCUGAAAGCAUCUAAGCACGAAACUUGCCCCGAGAUGAGUUCUCCCUGACUCCUUGAGAGUCCUGAAGGAACGUUGAAGACGACGACGUUGAUAGGCCGGGUGUGUAAGCGCAGCGAUGCGUUGAGCUAACCGGUACUAAUGAACCGUGAGGCUUAACCUUACAACGCCGAAG
rnacentral:rRNA from 1 species